CCGUUGAAACUGUAAGACUUGAGUGUAAAUGAGGUAGGCGGAAUGCGUGGUGUAGCGGUGAAAUGCAUAGAUAUCACGCAGAACUCCGAUUGCGAAGGCAGCUUACUAAGCUACAACUGACACUGAAGCACGAAAGCGUGGGGAUCAAACAGGAUUAGAUACCCUGGUAGUCCACGCAGUAAACGAUGAUUACUAGCUGUUUGCGAUACACAGUAAGCGGCACAGCGAAAGCGUUAAGUAAUCCACCUGGGGAGUACGCCGGCAACGGUGAAACUCAAAGGAAUUGACGGGGGCCCGCACAAGCGGAGGAACAUGUGGUUUAAUUCGAUGAUACGCGAGGAACCUUACCCGGGUUUGAACGUAGGGAGACAGGGGUGGAAACAUCCUUUUCAGCAAUGACUGCCUACGAGGUGCUGCAUGGUUGUCGUCAGCUCGUGCCGUGAGGUGUCGGCUUAAGUGCCAUAACGAGCGCAACCCUUAUUUUCAGUUACUAACAGGUGAUGCUGAGGACUCUGAAGAGACUGCCCAGCGUAAGCUGUGAGGAAGGUGGGGAUGACGUCAAUCAGCACGGCCCUUACAUCCGGGGCGACACACGUGUUACAAUGGUAAGGACAAAGGGCAGCUACCGGGCGACCGGAUGCGAAUCUCUAAACCUUAUCUCAGUUCGGAUCGGAGUCUGCAACUCGACUCCGUGAAGCUGGAUUCGCUAGUAAUCGCGCAUCAGCCAUGGCGCGGUGAAUACGUUCCCGGGCCUUGUACACACCGCCCGUCAA
rnacentral:rRNA from 1 species